UCCGGUAUAGUGUAACGGUUAACAUAUCGCGUUUUCAUGACCUUCCCUGGUCUAAGAUCCGCGGGGCUCGGGGUUCGAUUCCCCGUACCGGAG